CACGACCGUACCGCAAACCGACACUGGUGCGCGAGAUGAGUAUUCUCAGGCGCUUGAGAGAACUCUGGAGAAGGAACUCGGCAAAUUGACACCGUAACUUCGGAAGAAGGUGUGCCUUUAGUAGGUGAAGUUGUACAAAUGGAGCCGAAUGAGGCCGCAGAGAAUCGGUGGCUGCGACUGUUUAAUAAAAACACAGCACUCUGCAAAGACGAAAGUCGACGUAUAGGGUGUGACGCCUGCCCGGUGCUGGAAGAUUAAAUGAUGGGGUGCAAGCUCUUGACUGAAGUCCCAGUAAACGGCGGCCGUAACCAUAACGGUCCUAAGGUAGCGAAAUUCCUUGUCGGGUAAGUUCCGACCUGCACGAAUGGCGUAACGAUGGCCACACUGUCUCCUCCAGAGACUCAGCGAAGUUGAAAUGUUUGUGAUGAUGCAAUCUCCCCGCGGAAAGACGGAAAGACCCCAUGAACCUUUACUGUAGCUUUACAUUGGACUUUGAACAGAUCUGUGUAGGAUAGGUGG
rnacentral:rRNA from 1 species